CGAUAUGUAUGAUUUUGACGCUUUGCCCAAAUCCAAAAUCGCUGAAAUUGUACUGGUAUACCAAAUUCUUUGGCAACCUCCUCCUUGAAAUGACUAAAUGGCAUCUGCUUCUGGAUACGGAAAUUACGGACUUUGUCAUGAUCCACAAGGUCAAAAUAUAUAUCCCUUCCAAUCUGCUCUUUAAGAUCCUCAUCUCGUGCAACCUUUAUGAUGGUAUAAAGGUGGGCUUGUGCUUUAUAUCUUCUUCUUGUCUUCCUUCUCUUCUUGUUCUUUUUUCAACCUAAUCCUCAGGUGUUCAGCGAUGUCUUUUUCAUCAACAUUACAAAUUAUCUUGUCCUUGUCACUUUCACGUAUAUACACAAGCAUGUACGCAUUUGAGUAUUUUGUGAACUUAAAGGGAGCAUUGUUAAAACCAGGAUUGGUCUGUGGAAGCUCUUCCUCACCGCUCCACCAUACUGCUCUUCUAAUGCCCUCUUCAUAUCCUCUUUUGUCACCCGUUCAUCAUCAAAUUUGAACCAUUGAUCAGAAAGGGUUGGCCUGAUAAAAGCAUAAUAAUGUCCGCCGUGCACCCCUCCACUAUGAACCAAGACACUGUGAAGUGUGUAAAGGUUACGAACACUCCUGUCCGCUUCUGGCGAUAGAUAUUUUCCAUUCUCUCUAUCAAGGUCAAGUUGAAGAGGAAACUCAUAGCGGUCAUUAAUCUUCACCAUAGUGUCUCGCAUAAAAUCAUACUCAAACCUCUUCAGUUGGAGUUGAAGAACAGGGGGGAAGUCAAUAAACAAGACACCCUUCUUAGCAUCCUGCAGACCAUGUUCUUCAGCAUGGUAUUUGUUAUCACCCUCCAGUCGUUCAACUUCUACAUACUUGUCAAAAGAAGCAUAAACGUCCCGACAACCUUUCACAUCAAGCUGGAGAUCGUAAAAUGACUCUUUUCUUGUAGAUUUGUAAUCCACAUUGAUGCACUCGAUAUAAUUCAUAUGGUGGCCCUCAAAUAACUUCUGUAUUGUCCCCUCCACAACAGUCCCCUUCAUCUUAUCUUCUAGCUUCUCAC
rnacentral:misc_RNA from 1 species